AUAACGGGUGUAUCAAUUAGAGGUCGACCAAUUAUGAUUUUAAUGCCGAUACCGAUUAUUGGAGGACCAAAAAAAGCUGUUUCUGAUCAAUCUGCCAAUUUUUUUAUAUAUAUAUUUGUAUUAAUGACAAUUACAACAAUACUGAAUGAACACUUUUAUUUUAAAUUAAUAUAAUACGUAAAAAUCCAUUUAGUCUCAAAUAAAUAAUGAAACAUGUUCAAUUUGGUUUUAUUGAUGCAAAAACAAAGUGUUGGAGAAGAAUGUAAAAGUGCCGUGUAUAAAAGCUAAUGUUUAAGUUCCUUGCUCAGAACAUGAGAACAUAUGAAAGCUGAUGGUUCCUUUUAACAUGAGUCUUCAAUGUUCCCAGUUAAGAAUGUUAGGUUGUCAUUAUUAUAGGACUAUUUCUCUCUAUACCAUUUGUAUUUCAUAUACAUUUGACUAUUGGAUGUUCUUAUAGGCACUAUAGUAUUGCCAGCCUGAUCUCGGGAGUUGAUGGGCUUGAAGUCAUAAACAUCGCUGUGCUUCAAGCAUUGCAAAAAGCUGCUGGCAAACAGAGGAAAGUGCUGUUUGAAUGAAUGCUUACGAGUCUGCUGCUGCCUACCACCGCUCAGACUGCUCUACCAAAUAUCAAUUCAUAGUCUUAAUUAUAAUAUAAACACACAGAAAUACGAGCCUUAGGUCAUUAAUAUGGUCAAAUCCGUAAACUAUCAUUUCAAAAACAAAACGUUUAUUCUUUCAGUGAAAUACGGAACCGUUCCCUAUUUUAUCGAACAGGUGGCAUCCAUAAGUCUAAAUAUUGCUGUUACAUUGCACAACCUUCAAUGUUAUGUCAUCAUUAUGUAAAAUUCUGCCUAAUUAAUUACUGUCUUUGUUAGGAAGAAAUGGUCUUCACACAGUUUGCAAGGAGCCAGGCGACCCAAACUGCUACAUAUACCCUGACUCUGCUUGCGCAGAACGCAAGAGAAGUGAACAAUUUCCCUAGUUAAUAUUGCUUGCUAACAUGAAUUUCUUUUAAUUAAAUAUGCAGGUCUAAAAGUAUAUACUUGUGUAUUGUUUUUAAGAAAGUCAUUGUUUGGCUCAACAACAGUACUUCCGUUCAGUAUUUCCGCGAAUGCGCUUGUUAAAUCAUCACCUGUUUGGCGAAGAUGGCUGUGAUUCAAUGAUAAAUUAACAGGCACCGCAUUGAUUAUUUGCAAUGCAGGACAAGCUAGUUAACUACACAUGGUUGAUGAUAUUACUAGUUUAAGUAGUGAUUAUGUUAAGAUUCAUAGUUGUUUUUAUAAGAUAAGUUUAAUCCUAGCUAGCAACUUACCUCGGCUCCUUGCUGCACUCGUGUAACAGGAGGUCAGCCUGCCACGCAGUUUCCUCGUGGAGUGCAGUGUAAUCGACUAUAAUCGGCAUCCCAAAAAAAUGCUGAUUACCGAUUUGUUAUGAAAACUUGAAAUCUGCCCUAAUUUAAUCGAAUCAAUUAUCCUCGUUGUCUCAGUCCAUCCAUCUGCGCUGAUUAGAAGGACUUGCCUGGUGAAAAUAAUGUGCAGGAAGCUCAUCAAUAGGCUGACUUUCAGCCGGUCAGUUCCUCUCAGACCAGUGCAGAUGAGAGGCGAGGAGAGGAUGUAGUGAGCUGCAUGAGCAAGGAUCGACUCCGUCACACAUGCAAGUCAUGGGAUCAGCUAUGUCAGAAUAUGAUUACAUGGUACCAUGUGCAUUGACCCUCUGUGGCCAAACAAACAUGAAGUACUCUCAUGUCCAGACUUUGCGAGAAGAUACUGACCCCACCGUUACGCGUAACACAAUCAUGGGUCCAGAGUGAAAUACGGGUCGGAAAACGUACCUCGACGCAUGUUAGUGCUAUAGAUGUUAUUAGAUAUUAGUUGUUAGAUAUGAGUUAUUAGAUAUUGGGUGUUAGUGCUAUAGAUAUUAUUAGUUGUUAUUAGAUAUUAGUUGUUAGAUAUGAGUUGUUAUUAGAUAUUUGGUGUUAGUGCUAUAGAUAUUAUUAGUUAAAUAUUCGUUGUUAAUAGAUAUUAGAUAUUGUGUGUAAUUGGGUUAGUGGAAUAGAUGUUAUUAGUUGUUACAUAUGAGUUAUUAGAUAUUAGUUAUUAGAUAUUGAGUGUUAGCGCUAUAGAUAUUGUUAGAUAUUAGUGUGUUAUUAGAUAUUAGUGUGUUAUUAGAUAUUAGUGUGUUAGAUGUUAUUAGGUGUAGGUGUUAUUAGGUGUAGGUGUUAUUAGGUGUAGGUGUUAUUAGGUGUAGAUGUUAUUAGGUGUAGAUGUUAUUAGGCGUAGAUGUUAUUAGGCGUAGAUGUUAUUAGGCGUAGAUGUUAUUAGGCGUAGAUGUUAUUAGGCGUAGAUGUUAUUAGGCGUAGAUGUUAUUAGGCGUAGAUGUUAUUAGGCGUAGAUGUUACUAGUGUUAUUCGGUGUAGGUGUUAUUCGGUGUAGGUGUUAUUCGGUGUAGGUGUUAUUCGGUGUAGGUGUUAUUAGGUGUUAUUAGGUGUAGGUGUUAUUAGGUGUAGAUGUUACUAGUGUUAUUAGGUGUAGAUGUUACUAGUGUUAUUUGGUGUAGAUGUUAUUAGGUGUAGAUGUCAUUAGUGUUAUUAGGUGUAGAUGUUAUUAGGUGUAGAUGUUAUUAGUGUUAUUAGGUGUAGAUGUUAUUAGUGUUAUUAGGUGUAGGUGUUAUUAGGUGUAGGUGUCAUUAGUGUUAUUAGGUGUAGAUGUUAUUAGGUUUAGAUGCCAUUAGUGUUAUUAGGUGUAGAUGUUAUUAGUGUUAUUAGGUGUAGAUGUUAUUAGUGUUAUUAGGUGUAGAUGUUAUUAGUGUUAUUAGGUGCAGAUGUUAUUAGGUGUAGAUGUUACUAGUGUUAUUAGGUGUAGGUGUUAUUAGGUGUAGGUGUUAUUAGGUGUAGGUGUUAUUAGGUGUAGGUGUUAUUGGAUGUAGGUGUUAUUAGGUGUAGGUGUUAUUAGGUGUAGGUGUUAUUAGGUGUAGGUGUUACUAGUGUUAUUAGGUGUAGAUGUUAUUAGUGUUAUUAGGUGUAGAUGUUACUAGUGUUAUUAGGUGUAGAUGUUACUAGUGUUAUUAGGUGUAGAUGUUACUAGUGUUAUUAGGUGUAGAUGUUACUAGUGUUAUUAGGUGUAGAUGUUACUAGUGUUAUUAGGUGUAGAUGUUACUAGUGUUAUUAGGUGUAGAUGUUACUAGUGUUAUUAGGUGUAGAUGUUACUAGUGUUAUUAGGUGUAGAUGUUACUAGUGUUAUUAGGUGUAGAUGUUACUAGUGUUAUUAGGUGUAGAUGUUACUAGUGUUAUUAGGUGUAGAUGUUACUAGUGUUAUUAGGUGUAGAUGUUACUAGUGUUAUUUGGUGUAGAUGUUAUUAGUGUUAUUAGGUGUAGAUGUCAUUAGGUGUAGAUGUUAUUAGUGUUAUUAGGUGUAGGUGGUAUUAGGUGUAGGUGGUAUUAGGUGUAGGUGGUAUUAGGUGUAGGUGGUAUUAGGUGUAGGUGUUAGGUGUAGGUGUUAGUAGGUGUGUAGGUGUUAUUAGGUGUGUAGGUGUUAUUAGGUGUGUAGGUGUUAUUAGGUGUGUAGGUGUUAUUAGGUGUAGGUGUUAUUGGGUGUAGGUGUUAUUAGUGUUAUUGGGUGUAGAUGUCAUUAGUAUUAUUAGGUGUAGAUGUCAUUAGUGUUAUUAGGUGUAGAUGUUAUUAGUGUUAUUAGGUGUAGAUGUUAUUAGUGUUAUUAGGUGUAUAUGUUAUUAGGUGUAGGUGUUAUUUGGUGUAUAUGUUAUUAGGUGUGGGUGUUAUUAGCUGUGGGUGUUAUUAGGUGUGAUGUUAUUAGUGUUAUUAGGUGUGAUGUUACUAGUGUUAUUAGGUGUGAUGUUACUAGUGUUAUUAGGUGUCGAUGUUAUUAGUGUUAUUAGGUGUAGAUGUUAUUAGGUGUAGAUGUUAUUAGGUGCAGAUGUUAUUAGGUGCAGAUGUUAUUAGGUGCAGAUGUUACUAGUGUUAUUAGGUGUAGAUGUUACUAGUGUUAUUAGGUGUAGAUGUUACUAGUGUUAUUAGGUGUAGAUGUUACUAGUGUUAUUAGGUGUAGAUGUUACUAGUGUUAUUAGGUGUAGAUGUUACUAGUGUUAUUAGGUGUAGAUGUUACUAGUGUUAUUAGGUGUAGAUGUUACUAGUGUUAUUAGGUGUAGAUGUUACUAGUGUUAUUAGGUGUAGAUGUUACUAGUGUUAUUAGGUGUAGAUGUUACUAGUGUUAUUAGGUGUAGAUGUUACUAGUGUUAUUAGGUGUAGAUGUUACUAGUGUUAUUAGGUG